rnacentral:tRNA from 1 species
GGAGGGAUGGCCGAGUGGUCGAAGGCGGCGGUCUUGAAAACCGCUGAGGCUUCGCGCCUCCGUGGGUUCGAAUCCCACUCCCUCCGCCA